rnacentral:rRNA from 1 species
AUACAGGGGGUGCGAGCGUUAAUCGGAAUUACUGGGCGUAAAGAGUACGUAGGCGGUUGCUUAAGUCAGAUGUGAAAGCCCCGGGCUCAACCUGGGAACUGCAUUUGAAACUGAGUGACUAGAGUUUAAGAGAGGGGAGUAGAAUUCCGGGUGUAGCGGUGAAAUGCGUAGAGAUCCGGAGGAAUACCAGUGGCGAAGGCGGCUCCCUGGCUUAAAACUGACGCUGAGGUACGAAAGUGUGGGUAGCAAACAGGAUUAGAUACCCCGGUAGUCC